rnacentral:lncRNA from 1 species
UUCCAUGUGGCUGGAGACGCCUCAUAAUCAUGGUGGAAGAUGAAGGAAGAGCAAUGGGACGUCUUACAUGGCAGCAGGCAAGAGAGAAAGAGAGCCAAACGAAAGGGGAAACCCCUAUAAAAGCAUCAAAUGUUUGAUGAAAAGACUUUGAAAUUCAUUGUUGAAAAGACUUAUUCUGUUCAACAUUGUUGAAAAGUUGUUUGAAAAGACUUAUUCAUUACCAUGAGAACAGUAUGUGGGAAACUGCCCCCAUGACUCAAUGAUUUCCCACUGGCACCCUCCCACAACACGUGGGAAUUAUGGAAGCUGCAAUUCAAGAUGAGAUUUGGGUGGAGACACAGCCAAACCAUAUCAUUGACUGACUUAAAUUCAACAGAACUGUGCUUUGGAGGACAUCGUUGCGCUGCUGACUUCUAACACUGAGGAAAUACUGCUACACAACCUUGAACUACUUCACACAUCGAAAAAGAACACGUACUCUUUCUCUACCAAAAGUGAAUUUAUCAGUUACACAUACAAGGUGAUCCUGCCUUAUCCUGGAGAAAGAAAUGUUAUGCAAGAGGCCAAGAAGAAGCUAAACAAACAAGCCAUGAUGGAUUCCCAUCUCAGCUUAUUACCAUUGGGACAUGUCCUUUUUGUCCAAUCACAUUUCUACAUGGCAGUACAGUCUUCAUCAAACCUAAGCAUUAAAAAAAAAGUUUUCUCUGGGUCUUUGGGUCUUUUGUUUCGGAAGGCUCCUGUAUUACAUAAAACUUUGUUAAAUAAAUUUGUUAUACUUUUUU